CCAUCCUCGUCUACAAGGGGCAUUGUCCGUGAAUUCGUAACUUUUACCGGACCAGGUGUCACUUUUGUUAAUGCAAACUUAUGAGCCACCAGUAUUUGCCUGUGCUGUUAAUGACAUUCUAUCACAAAUAACUGGAGAAAAAUCGUCCUCAAUGCCCACACUAAUAGUCCUAUUUGCCCUGGCAUCAUCAAAGUCUUAGUGGGAAAGCUAACCUUUAACAAAAUAUGAAAGCAAAGCUUCCAUUUAUGGAAUACAGAUAGGCCCAGAAACAGAUGUAACUAAGGCCAUGGCUGCCAGUACCCAGAAGGUGCCAUCAUUGUUGCCGAUUUUUCACGAACCUUCAGCCUGCCUUCUUCAAUUGGUCCAUGUCUUGAAAUUGACAACUUUUGUUCUUAUUGGGCCAAUAAGAGGUCGCAUGUUUCUGAUAAAGCUCUAGGACAAGAACUUGAGGUAUUCAUACUCUGGUUACUUUCAGCUAAUGCGCCUAUAAUUGGUGAAAUUGUUCAUAUUGUAGAUUAGGUAUCUUUAAACUAAGACUUAGAGGCCAUGUUGAGAUAAUGGAUUGUGAAAGCUAUUGCAACCUUUUUCAUGUUUUCCUGUUGAGAAAAGCACUUUGUGGCCGGUUCUUCUCCAGAUACUUUAUGAGAUGGAAGAGCUUUUGGCAAGCGCUUCUGGCCUGUGCGUUUUUAGAGACUGGGUCAUGUGGCAACCAAGAACAGUCUGAUAAACAGACUUGGUUCAUCAAAAACUAGUCCACGGAGAAAGGUAAAUUUUGGAGUCAUACAUGUUUACUUGUAUAGCUUGUCAUUCAUUGAUAUUGCCUUUUAAUCCAUCGCUUGAAGCAGUGUAUAUCUUUGAACCUGUUUCCAUGUGAUUUGGAAAUGAAGGCAUUUUAAUCAUGCCAUUCACUGGUACCUUAGCACUUGCUUUAUUGAUGAACAGAAGCCGUACUUAUAAUGCUAUUCUGGCUA